AACGAACGCUGGCGGCAUGCCUAACACAUGCAAGUCGAACGAGACCUUCGGGUCUAGUGGCGCACGGGUGCGUAACGCGUGGGAACCUGCCCUUAGGUUCGGAAUAACUCCCCGAAAGGGGUGCUAAUACCGGAUAAUGUCUUCGGACCAAAGAUUUAUCGCCUUUGGAUGGGCCCGCGUUGGAUUAGCUAGUUGGUAGGGUAAAAGCCUACCAAGGCGACGAUCCAUAGCUGGUCUGAGAGGAUGAUCAGCCACACUGGGACUGAGACACGGCCCAGACUCCUACGGGACGCAGCAGUGGUGAAUAUUGGACAAGGGGCGAAGGCCUGAUCAAGCAAUGCCGCGUGAGAGAUAAAGGCCUUAGGGUUGUAAAGCUCUUUUACCCGUGAUGAUAAUGACAGUACCGGGAGAAUAAGCUCCGGCUAACUCCGUG
rnacentral:rRNA from 1 species